rnacentral:tRNA from 2 species
CGGGGUGUGGCUCAGCCCGGUAGAGCACCUCGUUCGGGACGAGGGGGUCGGAGGUUCAAAUCCUCUCACCCCGA